rnacentral:tRNA from 1 species
GGGGGCGUAGUUUAACCUGGCUAGAAUUGACGGCUCCAGACCGUUAGAUGGGGGUUCAAAUCCCUCCGUCCCCACCA